rnacentral:rRNA from 1 species
GACGAACGCUGGCGGCGUGCUCAACACAUGCAAGUCGAGCGGUAAGGCCCUUUCGGGGGUACACGAGCGGCGAACGGGUGAGUAACACGUGGGUGACCUGCCCUCAGCUCUGGGAUAAGCCUGGGAAACUGGGUCUAAUACUGGAUAUGACUCCACGGUGCAUGUCGUGGGGUGGAAAGCCUUGUGCGGCUGAGGAUGGGCCCGCGGCCUAUCAGCUUGUUGGG